CGGAGCUAGCCGAUGGAGUUUUCAUUGGCUGUGCCUUGAACCACUCUGUCACAGAUGGAACUUCCAUCUGGAACUUCUUUAACACCUUCGCUGAGCUAUCAAGAGGAAUCAAGAAAAUCUCGCAGGUGCUGCAGCCCGAUUUUUCAAGAAACUCCGUGCUGAUAUCCCAGGAGGUGCUUCAAGUCCCUGAGGGUGGACCCAAGGUCACUUUUAAUGAAAACGAGCCACUGAGUGAAAGAAUCUUUAGCUUUAGCAGAG
rnacentral:misc_RNA from 1 species